rnacentral:rRNA from 1 species
UGGAAGUAAAAGUCGUAACAAGGUCUCCGUUGGUGAACCAGCGGAGGGAUCAUUACCGAGUUUACAACUCCCAAACCCAAUGUGAACCAUACCAAACUGUUGCCUCGGCGGGGUCACGCCCCGGGUGCGUCGCAGCCCCGGAACCAGGCGCCCGCCGGAGGGACCAACCAAACUCUUUCUGUAGUCCCCUCGCGGACGUUAUUUCUUACAGCUCUGAGCAAAAAUUCAAAAUGAAUCAAAACUUUCAACAACGGAUCUCUUGGUUCUGGCAUCGAUGAAGAACGCAGCGAAAUGCGAUAAGUAAUGUGAAUUGCAGAAUUCAGUGAAUCAUCGAAUCUUUGAACGCACAUUGCGCCCGCCAGUAUUCUGGCGGGCAUGCCUGUCCGAGCGUCAUUUCAACCCUCGAACCCCUCCGGGGGGUCGGCGUUGGGGAUCGGGAACCCCUAAGACGGGAUCCCGGCCCCGAAAUACAGUGGCGGUCUCGCCGCAGCCUCUCCUGCGCAGUAGUUUGCACAACUCGCACCGGGAGCGCGGCGCGUCCACGUCCGUAAAACACCCAACUUCUGAAAUGUGACCUCGGAUCAGGUAGGAAUACCCGCUGAACUUAAGCAUAUCAAUAAGCGGAGGA